UACGUAGGGUGCGAGCGUUGUCCGGAAUUAUUGGGCGUAAAGGGCUCGUAGGCGGUUUGUCACGUCGGGAGUGAAAACUCGGGGCUUAACCCCGAGCCUGCUUCCGAUACGGGCAGACUAGAGUGAUGUAGGGGAGACUGGAAUUCCUGGUGUAGCGGUGAAAUGCGCAGAUAUCAGGAGGAACACCGAUGGCGAAGGCAGGUCUCUGGGCAUUAACUGACGCUGAGGAGCGAAAGCAUGGGGAGCGAACAGG
rnacentral:rRNA from 1 species